rnacentral:rRNA from 1 species
AUUGAACGCUGGCGGCAUGCUUUACACAUGCAAGUCGAACGGCAGCACGGGUGCUUGCACCUGGUGGCGAGUGGCGGACGGGUGAGUAAUGCAUCGGAACGUGUCCUAAAGUGGGGGAUAACGCAUCGAAAGAUGUGCUAAUACCGCAUAUUCUCUGAGGAGGAAAGUAGGGGAUCGAAAGACCUUAUGCUUUUGGAGCGGCCGAUGUCUGAUUAGCUAGUUGGUAAGGUAAUGGCUUACCAAGGCGACGAUCAGUAGUUGGUCUGAGAGGACGACCAGCCACACUGGGACUGAGACACGGCCCAGACUCCUACGGGAGGCAGCAGUGGGGAAUUUUGGACAAUGGGCGCAAGCCUGAUCCAGCAAUGCCGCGUGAGUGAAGAAGGCCUCGGUUGUAAGUACGUCUUUCUAGUUGUAAAGAAAAGAACCGUAGACUAAUAAUACAUGGUUCUAUAGACGGUA